UACGAGGGGGGCGAGCGUUGUUCGGAAUUAUUGGGCGUAGAGGGUGCGUAGGCGGUUUGGUAAGUCUUAUGUGAAAUCUACAGGCUCAACUUGUAGUCUGCAUGAGAAACUGCCGGGCUUGAGUAUGGGAGAGGUGAGUGGAAUUCCUGGUGUAGCGGUGAAAUGCGUAGAUAUCAGGAGGAACACCUGUGGCGAAAGCGGCUCACUGGACCAUAACUGACGCUGAUGCACGAAAGCUAGGGGAGCAAACAGG
rnacentral:rRNA from 1 species